rnacentral:rRNA from 1 species
UGGGGAAUAUUGCACAAUGGGCGCAAGCCUGAUGCAGCCAUGCCGCGUGUGUGAAGAAGGCCUUCGGGUUGUAAAGCACUUUCAGCGAGGAGGAAGGUGGUGAGCUUAAUACGCUCAUCAAUUGACGUUACUCGCAGAAGAAGCACCGGCUAACUCCGUGCCAGCAGCCGCGGUAAUACGGAGGGUGCAAGCGUUAAUCGGAAUUACUGGGCGUAAAGCGCACGCAGGCGGUUUGUUAAGUCAGAUGUGAAAAUCCCCGGGCUCAACCUGGGAACUGCAUUUGAAACUGGCAAGCUAGAGUCUCGUAGAGGGGGGUAGAAUUCCAGGUGUAGCGGUGAAAUGCGUAGAGAUCUGGAGGAAUACCGGUGGCGAAGGCGGCCCCCUGGACGAAGACUGACGCUCAGGUGCGAAAGGCGUGGGGCAGCAAACAGGAUUAGAUACCCUGGUAGUCCACGCUGUAAAACGAUGUCGAUUUUGGA